GCAAGUCGAGGGGCAUCACGAUGAUUGCUUGCAAUCAUUGGUGGCGACCGGCGCACGGGUGCGUAACGCGUAUGCAACCUACCCUUUAUAGGUGAAUAACCCGAAGAAAUUCGGACUAAUACACCGUAUGUAACGAAGAGGCAUCUUUUUGUUAUGAUAGAUUUAUUGAUAAAGGAUGGGCAUGCGUGACAUUAGCUAGUUGGAGAGGUAACGGCUCACCAAGGCAACGAUGUCUAGGGGUUCUGAGAGGAAGGUCCCCCACACUGGUACUGAGACACGGACCAGACUCCUACGGGAGGCAGCAGUGAGGAAUAUUGGUCAAUGGGCGCAAGCCUGAACCAGCCAUGCCGCGUGCAGGAUGACGGCUCUAUGAGUUGUAAACUGCUUUUAUACUAGGGUAAAGUCAUCUACGUGUAGAUGUUUGAAAGUAUAGUAUGAAUAAGGAUCGGCUAACUCCGUGCCAGCAGCCGCGGUAAUACGGAGGAUCCAAGCGUUAUCCGGAUUUAUUGGGUUUAAAGGGUGCGUAGGCGGUUUUUUAAGUUAGUCGUUAAAUCGCGAGGCUCAACCUCGCAAUGGCGAUUGAUACUGGAGAGCUAGAGAUUAUGUGCAGCGGGCGGAAUGAGUAGUGUAGCGGUGAAAUGCUUAGAUAUUACUCAGAACACCAAUUGCGAAGGCAGCUCGCUAACAUACAUCUGACGCUGAUGCACGAAAGCGUGGGGAUCAAACAGGAUUAGAUACCCUGGUAGUCCACGCCGUAAACGAUGAUAACUCGUUGUCGGGUUUUAGGACUCGGUGACUAAGGGAAACCGAUAAGUUAUCCACCUGGGGAGUACGGCCGCAAGGCUGAAACUCAAAGGAAUUGACGGGGGCCCGCACAAGCGGAGGAACAUGUGGUUUAAUUCGAUGAUACGCGAGGAACCUUACCCGGGCUUGAAAGUUAGCGACCGCUCCUGAAAGGGAGCCUCCAGCAAUGGCGCGAAACUAGGUGCUGCAUGGUUGUCGUCAGCUCGUGCCGUGAGGUGUCGGGUUAAGUCCCAUAACGAGCGCAACCCCUAUCGUUAGUUACCAGCAUGUUAUGAUGGGGACUCUAACGAGACUGCCGGUGUAAACCGCGAGGAAGGUGGGGAUGACGUCAAAUCAGCACGGCCCUUACGUCCGGGGCGACACACGUGUUACAAUGGCCGGUACAGAGGGUCGCAACACAGCGAUGUGAAGCUAAUCUCUAAAAGCCGGUCUCAGUUCGGAUCGCAGGCUGCAACUCGCCUGCGUGAAGUUGGAUUCGCUAGUAAUCGCGCAUCAGCCAUGGCGCGGUGAAUACGUUCCCGGGCCUUGUACACACCGCCCGUCAAGCCAUGGAAGUCGAGGGUGCCUGAAGUGCGUGACCGAA
rnacentral:rRNA from 1 species